UGCAGUCGAGCGACGGAUAAGGAGCUUGCUCCUUUGAAGUUAGCGGCGGACGGGUGAGUAACACGUGGGUAACCUACCUAUAAGACUGGGAUAACUUCGGGAAACCGGAGCUAAUACCGGAUAACAUUUAGAACCGCAUGGUUCUAAAGUGAAAGAUGGUUUUGCUAUCACUUAUAGAUGGACCCGCGCCGUAUUAGCUAGUUGGUAAGGUAACGGCUUACCAAGGCGACGAUACGUAGCCGACCUGAGAGGGUGAUCGGCCACACUGGAACUGAGACACGGUCCAGACUCCUACGGGAGGCAGCAGUAGGGAAUCUUCCGCAAUGGGCGAAAGCCUGACGGAGCAACGCCGCGUGAGUGAUGAAGGGUUUCGGCUCGUAAAACUCUGUUAUUAGGGAAGAACAAAUGUGUAAGUAACUGUGCACAUCUUGACGGUACCUAAUCAGAAAGCCACGGCUAACUACGUGCCAGCAGCCGCGGUAAUACGUAGGUGGCAAGCGUUAUCCGGAAUUAUUGGGCGUAAAGCGCGCGUAGGCGGUUUCUUAAGUCUGAUGUGAAAGCCCACGGCUCAACCGUGGAGGGUCAUUGGAAACUGGGAAACUUGAGUGCAGAAGAGGAAAGUGGAAUUCCAUGUGUAGCGGUGAAAUGCGCAGAGAUAUGGAGGAACACCAGUGGCGAAGGCGACUUUCUGGUCUGUAACUGACGCUGAUGUGCGAAAGCGUGGGGGAUCAAACAGGAUUAGAUACCCUGGUAGUCCACGCCGUAAACGAUGAGUGCUAAGUGUU
rnacentral:rRNA from 1 species